GGGCGUGUGGUCUAGGGGUAUGGCGUUCGGUGAGUUUCCAUCUUCCCAAAAGAAUAAUUCGAGCGUAAAUUAACAGGAAUAGCUUCGCAUCUUCUGAUAGCGCUUUGCGAAAGGUCCGGGGUUCAAUUCCCCGUUCGUCCA